CCCCGCCGCACAUGACCACGGGAGGUCCAGAUGAUGAAGCUCAAGCCCAUAUGCUACUGCGCGCUUCGGUGCCUACAACAUUGACCUCUCUCGACGGCACGCCUAUAAUCUGCAUCCCAAUUGACCUAGAUUCCAAGGAUGUGAAACCCUUGUGCUGCUGCAGGCAGUGUUAUUCAGCUAGCGACCUGGCGUAUCAUUCUUGCUGGCUAUCAGCUCGUUGUGUCUUUCACAUACCAAGGGUGCAGUGCAACAAGGCCUAGCUGGCUGUGGGCUCUCCUCUCCAAGAGAAGGAUUUUGCUAUCUUCACUGGCCUGCAAAUGGUGCAUCCCGUGGCUUUGGUAAAGAUAAUGAUCAAGGGGAAGGGGUGUCAUGGAUGGGGAAGCAAAAGUCUAUAGCUCUACUCAUUUGGCUACUAUAGCAUCCAAUGGGUUUUCUGGAAGUAUCACUUUUUAAUUUCUAGUGGACUAUAAUUAAAAGAGUAGAACUGUGCCUUCAACCAACCUCUUUUGGCACACAUUACCUAAAG